GAGACACAUUUACUAUUGAAUUGCAGGAUCCAUCUUCUGAUGAUUUUAAAGGUCGGGCUACAUUGGUGAAGGAACAGCUUACACCUGUUUACCAAAACGCAUUCCCUUCGUCCUUCAAAUCACUAGAUGUUGUUUCAUUCAGUAACGGAUCAAUCAUCAGCGUCAUUGACGUUUCAUUUGUAAGCACAUCUGCUCCUAAUAAC